GCAAGUCGCUACGAGAAAUCCCGAGCCUUGCUUUGGGAGAGUAAAGUGGCGCACGGGCGUNGNNNCGCGUGGGUAACCUACCUUCGAAUCUGGGAUAACUCNUUUAAAAGCGGUGCUAAUACCGGAUAAGACCACGGCCGUUUCGGCGGCAGAGGUAAAAGCUGACCUCUCCAUGGAAGUUAGCGUUCGAGGACGGGCCCGCGUCCUAUCAGCUUGUUGGUGGGGUAAAGGCCUACCAAGGCAGCGACGGGUAGCUGGUCUGAGAGGAUGAUCAGCCACACUGGAACUGGAACACGGUCCAGACUCCUACGGGAGGCAGCAGUGAGGAAUUUUGCGCAAUGGGGGAAACCCUGACGCAGCAACGCCGCGUGGGUGAAGAAGGCUUUCGGGUCGUAAAGCCCUGUCAGGUGGGAAGAAACUCUUCAGUACUAAUAAUGCUGAAGCCUGACGGUACCACCAGAGGAAGCACCGGCCAACUCCGUGCCAGCAGCCGCGGUAAUACGGAGGGUGCAAGCGUUGUUCGGAAUCAUUGGGCGUAAAGAGCGUGUAGGCGGCUUGGUAAGUCAGAUGUGAAAGCCCUGGGCUCAACCCAGGAAGUGCAUUUGAAACUACCAGACUUGAGUACGG
rnacentral:rRNA from 1 species